UGUUACCGGAAAUGUAUGAAAUCAAGGAAUUGUAUACAAAUCCUAGGAAAUGUGUACAAUUCCGAUACUAUUUAGGAAAUGUAUAAAAUAUUGUUUGAAAAACUAUUUAAUGCAUAGAUAUCCUAGGAAAUGUAUAAAUUUCCUCGGAAUUGUAUAUAAUUCCAAUAUCGUAUUAGGAAAUGUAUAAAGUAAAUGCUUUCUGUAAUAAAACACGUUGUUAAUAAUAUUUUUUUAAUAUAACACUUAUUGAGACAAUCGGGUAACAGUCAUACCGUAAAAUAAUAAUAAUAUAUUCAGAUUAUCUUAAUAAUUAAAACUUCUAAAAUCAACUAUCUAUUAACUUUUAACGUAUCACAAAAUCAACUUAUAUUUAUUCUUAUAAAAUCAAAUUUUCAUUUGGCAAGUAAUCAGUCUGAUAAUUAAAUAAUUAUAAAUGUCAAAGUAUAAAAGUAAAUCUUUAUAUGAUAAUACUUUGUCAGUCCAUAUAGCUAUUUAUUUUUGCAGGGUAAGCUCAAAUGGCAUUUGGAAGUACAUAAUACUUUAUUUUUAAAACACAGACAUCUUGAAGUAGCACAGUUUUUCUUGCAAAGGCACUUCUUAAAUCCCUGGUCGGUUCCAGUGGAUUGCAAGUUGGCAACUGACCGUAGUGCAAGACUCGUCCCGCUGUCCCCGCGUACCCACCAAUAUCUUAAAUGUUUUACAUUUCCGAUUGCUAUUUAGGAAAUGUAUAGAUUUCCUAGGAAAUGUGUAAUGUGUAAGUAUAAUAUAAUUUAUUUCACACAUUUCCGUGCGAUUUUAGGAAUUACAUACAUUUCCUAGGAAUUGUAUACAAUGACGGAUUACAUACAUUUCCGUUAACAUAUACAACGUCUCCCUGCCUCCCCCCGUUGGAGAGACCUAAAGGGGCCUUAUUGAUUCAUUAGAAGGAUUUUGUCGUCUGAAGUCGGCAGAUGCGGUCAAUUGAGAGGAGCCAAAGAUCAGAGGAAGCAGCAUGCGCGCGUGCCAAUCCAGCUGCGUCGCAUUGAGACGUUGUUAAUUAAACGGAUUGAAGGAUUACUGGUGGCCCGGAGGUGGACCGGACAGGUGGGCGAGCAAAGGCUCAGCCAGGAGGGGUGGGAUUUGCUAACAACUGCUCGAGCGCCCUAGAGACCUAAAAACUCAAGAGCAGCUGCUUCACGAAUUAAUCUACUACCGGGUUCGAAACGCGGCCCGUCAAGAAGAUCCGGCGAGAAACUCAGCGAGCUGAUGCAUGGGGGCAGAGAAGUUGAGAAGUGCGCGCUUGAGAUGAUGAGACACGAGCUCACGGUCAACCAUGUUUUACACAUCACCAGGUCACUGUCGCAACUCAGCGAGCGACACGAGCUAUAUGGCAGCGCCGUGGCGCGCCGUGGGCAGAACAUCAGCCAGAUGGUCAGAUCCAGCAAGAGAAGCACUAGGUGGUAGUUUGUACCAUACGGUCCGUGCUACCCAUGAUCGAACACAGUGGAACGUCACAUGUGGUCGCGACCCUCAGUAGUGAGGGAACGAUAUAGAAGAUGAUAUGGCAUCGGCGAAGCAUAUCAUCUUAUCAUGCUGCACAGGCAAUUAGCAUGAAUUUCACGAUCGGCCGCCUGUCUCCUUGGAUUAUAUCUCCACUCAUUGCACUGAAUCAUAGGGAGGGUCUUUUUGUGUAUCUAAAGAAGUAUCUUUUGAUGUAACUUUUACUUCAUCCGUUUUAUGUUUUAUUGUUCAAUCAAAUCAUGAACAUUAGAAUUUUAUUGUAAAAUUUUAAUGGUAACCCUAAGUCCUAACUAAGUUGCUAAUUGUAAUAUUUGCUCAUGGCAACCCUCUCUUCCGUUCCAGCCUUUUAUCCCCGUGCAUGGCAAGUUGCAAUUAAAUUGUAAUAAAGUUAGAAUAAACGCGAAUAUUCAGUUUACAAGCCUAUAUUUUAUUUACACAUCUAUGAUUUGCAUUUUAUUAUUAUAAACACCUAUAUCCUUCUAUGCUAU